GCGGGGGUGCCCGAGCCUGGUCAAAGGGGGCGGACUUAAGACAGAUCCGCUGGCGUAGGCCUGCGUGGGUUCAAAUCCCACCCCCCGCACCA
rnacentral:tRNA from 1 species